rnacentral:rRNA from 1 species
UACGUAGGGUGCAAGCGUUAAUCGGAAUUACUGGGCGUAAAGCGUGCGCAGGCGGUUUUGUAAGUCUGUCGUGAAAGCCCCGGGCUCAACCUGGGAAUUGCGAUGGAGACUGCAAGGCUUGAAUCUGGCAGAGGGGGGUAGAAUUCCACGUGUAGCAGUGAAAUGCGUAGAGAGGUGGAGGAACCCCGAUGGCGAAGGGAGCCCCCUGGGUCAAGAUUGACGCUCAUGCACGAAAGCGUGGGGAGCAAACAGG